UACGUAGGUCCCGAGCGUUGUCCGGAUUUAUUGGGCGUAAAGCGAGCGCAGGUGGUUUAUUAAGUCUGGUGUAAAAGGCAGUGGCUCAACCAUUGUAUGCAUUGGAAACUGGUAGACUUGAGUGCAGGAGAGGAGAGUGGAAUUCCAUGUGUAGCGGUGAAAUGCGUAGAUAUAUGGAGGAACACCGGUGGCGAAAGCGGCUCCCUGGCCUGUAACUGACACUGAGGCUCGAAAGCGUGGGGAGCAAACAGG
rnacentral:rRNA from 1 species